rnacentral:rRNA from 1 species
CCCGUCACACCAUGGAAGUUGAUUGCACCAGAAGUGGGUAGCCUAACCGCAAGGAGGGCGCUCACCACGGUGUGCUCAAUGACUGAGGUG